AUACUUACCUGCUGGGGGAGAUACCAUGAUCACGAAGGUGGUUUUCCCAGGGUGAGGCUCACCCAUUGCACUCCGGGUGUGCUGACCCCUGCGAUUUCCCCAAAUGUGGGAAACUCGACUGCAUAAUUUGUGGUAGUGGGGGACUGCGUUCGCGCUCUCCCCUG
rnacentral:snRNA from 1 species